rnacentral:rRNA from 1 species
GACGAACGCUGGCGGCGUGCUUAACACAUGCAAGUCGAACGGAAAGGCCCUGCUUGUGGGGUGCUCGAGAGGGGAAAGCGGGAGUAAAACACGGGUGAUAUCCGCCUUAGAUUGGGAUAUGACUGGGGAAAAGGGUCUAAUACAGGGGAGGGGAGCGCUGUAGGCGGGGUGGUGGUAAGAUUAGUUUCGGUGAGGGGGGAGCACGCGGCCUAUCAGCUCGUUGGGGGGGUAAUGGCCGACCCCGGGGUCGUCGGGUAGCCGGCCGGAGAGGGGGGACGGCCACAUUGUGGCUGGGAUACGGCGCAGACUCCUCCGGGGGGCAGCAGUGGGGAAUAUUGCACAAUGGGCGCAAGCCUGAUGCAGCGACGCCGCGUGGGGGAUGACGGCCUUCGGGUUGUAAACUCCUUUCUGCCAUGACGAAGCCCUUGUGGUGACGGUAGUGGGAGAAGAAGCACCGGCUAACUACGUG